UACGUAGGUGGCGAGCGUUAUCCGGAAUUAUUGGGCGUAAAGAGCGCGCAGGUGGUUGAUUAAGUCUGAUGUGAAAGCCCACGGCUUAACCGUGGAGGGUCAUUGGAAACUGGUCGACUUGAGUGCAGAAGAGGGAAGUGGAAUUCCAUGUGUAGCGGUGAAAUGCGCAGAUAUCAGGAGGAACACCAAUGGCGAAGGCAGGUCUCUGGGCAGUUACUGACGCUGAGGAGCGAAAGCAUGGGUAGCGAACAGGA
rnacentral:rRNA from 1 species